GACAGAGGUGCCGAGCGUUAGGCGGAAUCACUGGGCUUAAAGCGUGUGUAGGCGGGUGGCUAAGUACCUUGUGAAAUCCCACGGCUCAACCGUGGAACGGCUGGGUAUACUGGCGGUCUUGAGCCAUCCAGGGGCAGUCGGAACAGACGGUGGAGCGGUGAAAUGCGUAGAUAUCGGUAGGAACACCAGUGGCGAAGGCGGUCUCCUGGGGCAUUCUUGACGCUGAGGCGCGAAAGCUGGGGGAGCGAACGGG
rnacentral:rRNA from 1 species